UACAGAGGGUGCAAGCGUUAAUCGGAGUUACUGGGCGUAAAGGGCGCGUAGGCGGUUAUUUAAGUUUGAUGUGAAAUCCCUGGGCUUAACCUAGGAACUGCAUUGGGUACUGGAUAACUGGAGUACUGUAGAGGGUAGUGGAAUUCCUGGUGUAGCGGUGAAAUGCGCAGAUAUCAGGAAGAACACCCGUGGCGAAGGCGGCUCUCUGGAACGCAACUGACGCUGAGACGCGAAAGCGUGGGGAGCAAACAGG
rnacentral:rRNA from 1 species